rnacentral:tRNA from 2 species
CGAAAUCGGUAGACGCUACGGACUUAAAAUCCGUUGACUUUUAAAAUCGUGAGGGUUCAAGUCCCUCUAUCCCC